UACGUAGGGUGCGAGCGUUAAUCGGAAUUACUGGGCGUAAAGCGUGCGCAGGCGUUGAUGCAAGUCAGGUGUGAAAUCCCCGGGCUUAACCUGGGAACUGCAUUUGUGACUGCAUCGCUGGAGUGCGGCAGAGGGGGAUGGAAUUCCGCGUGUAGCAGUGAAAUGCGUAGAUAUCAGGAGGAAUACCGAUGGCGAAGGCAGGUCUCUGGGCUGACACUGACGCUCAUGCACGAAAGCGUGGGGAGCAAACAGG
rnacentral:rRNA from 1 species